rnacentral:rRNA from 1 species
CUUGUAUGAAUGGCCACACGAGGGUUUUACUGUCUCUUACUCUUAAUCAGUGAAAUUGACCUCCCCGUGAAGAGGCGGGGAUAACACAAUAAGACGAGAAGACCCUAUGGAGCUUUAAUUAAUCAACUCAAAAAGCAUAAAAGAAUACCACUAAGGGAUAACAAAGCUUUAUAUGAGCUGACAAUUUCGGUUGGGGUGACCUCGGAGUAUAAAAAACCCUCCGAGUGAUUAAAACUUAGGCCUACUAGCCAAAGUAUAGUAUCACUUAUUGAUCCAAAAUUUUGAUCAACGGAACAAGUUACCCUAGGGAUAACAGCGCAAUCCUAUUCUAGAGUCCAUAUCGACAAUAGGGUUUACGACCUCGAUGUUGGAUCAGGACAUCCUAAUGGUGCAGCAGCUAUCAAGGGUUCGUUUGUUCAACGAUUAAAGUCCUACGUGAUCUGAGUUCAGACCGGAGCAAUCCAGGUCGGUUUCUAUCUAUUACGCAUUUCUCCCAGUACGAAAGGACAAGAGAAAUAAGGCCAACUUCAAAAAAGCGCCUUCAAACAAUUAGUGAUCCAGUCUCAACCUAAUAAUCUAGCGCAAACAUACCCUGCCCAAGAUCAGGGCUUU